UAGACACUGUAACAUCUUGUAGAGCUCAAGGGCCCGUAUCUAGGGUUUCUCUCACUCUCUCUGUCUUUCUGCAGCAAAAGCAAAUUUUAGAGAGUGCUGCAGAUUGCCCUUGCAAUGACGACCGUCGUUCCUACCUCCGAAGAAGAUCCGGCCCUCGCCGUCGUCCGCUUCACCUCUGAGCUUGCCUGGGCCGACGCGGGUCCUGAGGUUGCGGAGCAACAAGUUUCUAGGCUUUGUUUGGAAGCUCAAGAAUGUAUGGUGAUGGCCAGAUGGCUGGACUUGUCCUCUUUAAUGCUUACUUCAGCUGACUUGAUAUUCUCCAACUCUAAAGUGUCAGAAAAAGAUCUAGAGUGUAUCUUCACUGUUAUCUGCAAUCUUGUCUCCAAGUCUGAAAGUCCAGAUGACGCACUUGAGAUGGCAAAACUUAUAUGUGGAAAAGUUAUUCAGCAACCAACUGACAAGCCUGCGUUGCGAUUGAAGAUCUUGUUCAACCUGUACAAUCUUCUGGAGAAUACAUACAGCCGGUUCUAUGUUUACAUGAAGGCUCUAAAUUUAGCAGUGAGUGGAAAAGUUACUGAGCAUGUCAUCCCUUCUUUCAAAAAGAUUGAUAGCUUCUUGAAAGAGUGGAAUCUUGAGGUGAAGGAUCAGAGGGAUCUUUUUCUUGGAAUUUCUAAUGUACUGAGAGAGAGUAAGAGCUCAGGAAAGGAUGCUUUCAAAUUCUUGACCAAGUAUUUAGCAACCUUCUCUGGUGAGGACGCAUAUACAAUGGCUGAAGCCAAGGAGGAAGCUGUGUGCACAAUUAUUGAAUUUGUCAGGGCAACUCACAUGUUUCAGUGUGACCUGCUUGAUAUGCCUGCUGUGGGGCAGUUGGAAAAGGACGCUAAAUAUGCAUUGGUGUAUCAGCUUUUGAAGAUCUUUCUGACUCAGAGGCUAGAUGCCUAUUUAGAGUUUCAGGCUGCUAAUUCUGCUUUGCUGAAAAGCUAUGGUCUUGUUCAUGAGGAUUGUAUAGCGAAGAUGAGAUUGAUGUCAUUGGUGGAUCUUGCCUCGGAUGGAUCUGGUCGAAUUCCAUAUGCUCUUAUCAAGGAUACUCUUCGAAUUAAUGAGGAUGAGGUGGAAUUAUGGGUAGUGAAGGCAAUAACUGCCAAGUUAAUUAAUUGUAAAAUGGACCAGAUGACUCAAUUUGUGCUUGUUAGUAACUGUACUGAGCGUGUAUUUGGCCAGCAUCAGUGGCUGACACUUAGAGUUAAACUGGCUACUUGGAGGGUAAAAUUUCGUGACUAAAGAAUAUCUUUUUACCUUCUCUAUAGUGGCAUGCACCCCCUGCAUUUUAGCGCUCGAAGGCAGUAGUUUUGUAUUGGGUAAUAUUGCGAAUACGCUAAACACCAUCCAAGCUAACAAGGUAACUGAAGAUGGAUCACAGGCGAUGCAAGGGUUGAUGAUUCGUUAGGUCCUUUUAGACAUUAGUUCCAAGGAGAAUUUGUGUGGAUUAUGGAGAGGAUACGAUUUUAUGCUAUGUUUUAGUUUGUUGUUUUUUUUUUUCAAGUUAAGAGCCAAGUGUAUUGGAAAUUUUGACACAGAUGUCUUGAUAAUCUAGCAUGCUGAAUGAUCUUCCAGCCUA